GGAAAACGGGGGAUCCGCAAGGACCUCGCGCUUUUGGAGAAGCCCGCGGCCUAUCAGCUAGUUGGUGAGGUAACGGCUCACCAAGGCAAUGACGGGUAGCUGGUCUGAGAGGACGACCAGCCUCACUGGAACUGAGACACGGUCCAGACACCUACGGGUGGCAGCAGUCGAGAAUUUUUCACAAUGGGGGCAACCCUGAUGGAGCGACGCCGCGUGGAGGAUGAAGGUCUUCGGAUUGUAAACUCCUGUCACUACAGAACAAGAGUGCAUUCACUAACACCGAAUGCACUUGAUGGUAUGUGGAGAGGAAGAGACGGCUAACUCUGUGCCAGCAGCCGCGGUGAUACAGAGGUCUCAAGCGUUGUUCGGAUUUACUGGGCGUAAAGGGUGCGUAGGAGGUUGGAAAAGUCGGGUGUGAAAGCCCACCGCUUAACGGUGGAACGGCAUUCGAAACUUUCCAGCUCGAGGAUCGGAGAGGAAAGCGGAAUUCUUGGUGUAGCGAUGAAAUGCGUAGAUAUCAAGAGGAACGCCAAUGGCGAAAGCUGCUUUCUGGAAGAUUCCUGACUCUGAGGCACGAAGGCUAGGGUAGCAAACAGGAUUAGAUACCCUGGUAGUCCUAGCAGUAAACGGUGCUCAUUAG
rnacentral:rRNA from 1 species